GCUGAAGGCUGUCGCGCCUGCCUGGUGUCCUUAAGCAAUCCAAGUCCUCAGUCUCCCGGGUCCGCCCCUUCCGCCGCGGGCGGCAGCUUCCGGCUCGCGCAUGCGCAGUGUUCGCGGACUCGCCGCCAACGCCCAGUACAGUCGGGGACGAGGUCGGCACACCCACAGCCCCAUAACCCCUACGUCGAGUCAGGGGUCAGAAAACCCAGUAACCCGCAGGCGAGCAAGCUGCGCACUGAAAAGCCGGCCUGCGGAGUCUUUCCUUACGAAGUUAAACCACCUAGGGCGCGCGGCCCUGUUCGCCCAGACCUCGGGCUUUCCUGCCAGGCUGGGUUUGCCGGGUCGAGUCACUUUGCUCGCCAAUCCCCGCCCCCAUUCCACCGUUUCAUUCUGGCCCCAGGACCCGCCUCACAGGAAAAUUCUAAAUAAUAUAUCUAAAUACCCCUUCUUCCAAUAGCGGGAGCUCGAUUUCUGCCCCACCCACCCCCACUUUGAUUAUGGGCUAUGCCUAGUAACUUGAUUCCAAAGAGUACAGCCUGGAAUGGUGUUGGGGACUACAGUGGAGAAACCUGGCAAACAGUACCUUACCGGGUGGUCAAGGAUAACAUCAGGAAGAAAUCAUGCUGAUAGCAUGUUCCUGUGGUGUCUCUCUCCAAAACCCUUCUAUGGAAAUCUUCUAUGGGGGAAAAAAAAUUAGUACUCCUAAACAUGUUUUCUGUCAUGAAAAACAAGUACAGUUGUCCCUUAGUGUCCGUGGGGGAAUGGUUCCAGGACCCUGCGGAUACCAGAAUUAGAAUGCUCAAGUCCCUUGUAUACAAUGGUGUAAACCUAAGUAACAAAAGAGGCUCCCUAAAAGAAAAUGAGAUUUAUCUGGGAGUAGCAUUGCAAUGGGAAUAUGCAUGCCAUAGUAAACUGUGUGCGUUUUGGGGGAGGUUGAGGCAAGGAGAUGUUUUUAAAAGGAAAAUGAAGAUUAUAUGAAUUGCUUUAAAUCAAUUAUCUUUGGCUAAAAGAAUGAAUAACAAAGGUAGCAUCAGUCCAAAGUUGCUGGACAGAUGUCCUUGCAGAAGGAUUUUCUGUGUUUAAGAUUGGGCCUUUCUGCAAGGUUAGGGUCUUUUGUGACAAUUCUUGUUAUGAGGCGUAGUGCAUGAGAACCCUUCCUUCAAGGCCUUCCCCAGCUGCAUUUAUCAGGGUUUUGACACAAGUGACUCCAUUUUGAUUCUGCAACUUUCACAAUGGUGUAAUAUUUGCAUAUAACCUAUGCACAUCCUCCCAUAUACUUUAAAUCAUCUCUAGAUUA
rnacentral:lncRNA from 10 species